AAAAACGCAUUGAAGAGGAAAGUACAAGAUGGCGCGUGUUUAGAGAGCAUCGUUUGCUGAAAAGAUGCCACGACAAAAUCAAGGAAAAUGGCCUCGGAGCGGGUCGCGCAAAAUGAGCGUGACAACGGUCAGCUGCCUGUUAGCGCAGCGCAUUUUUGCUUAAGGCAGAAGUGGCUAAGUGGCAAUUUCUAGAAUUGCAAUUAAGGUGGUACCGCGCUCAAGCGUCCUUUUU
rnacentral:ncRNA from 1 species